GACGAACGCUGGCGGCGUGCUUAACACAUGCAAGUCGAACGGAAAGGCCCUGCUUUUGUGGGGUGCUCGAGUGGCGAACGGGUGAGUAACACGUGAGUAACCUGCCCUUGACUUUGGGAUAACUUCAGGAAACUGGGGCUAAUACCGGAUAUGGGCUCCUGCUGCAUGGUGGGGGUUGGAAAGUUUCGGCGGUUGGGGAUGGACUCGCGGCUUAUCAGCUUGUUGGUGGGGUAGUGGCUUACCAAGGCUUUGACGGGUAGCCGGCCUGAGAGGGUGACCGGCCACAUGGGGACUGAGAUACGGCCCAGAAUCGUACGGGAGGCAGCAGUGGGGAAUAUUGCACAAUGGGCGAAAGCCUGAUGCAGCAACGCCGCGUGCGGGAUGACGGCCUUCGGGUUGUAAACCGCUUUCGCCUGUGACGAAGCGUGAGUGACGGUAAUGGGUAAAGAAGCACCGGCUAACUACGUG
rnacentral:rRNA from 1 species